rnacentral:rRNA from 1 species
GACGAACGCUGGCGGCGUGCUUAACACAUGCAAGUCGAACGGAAAGGCCUCUUUCGGGGGGUACUCGAGUGGCGAACGGGUGAGUAACACGUGAGUAACCUGCCCUUGACUUUGGGAUAACUUCAGGAAACUGGGGCUAAUACCGGAUAGGAGCUCCUGCUGCAUGGUGGGGGUUGGAAAGUUUCGGCGGUUGGGGAUGGACUCGCGGCUUAUCAGCUUGUUGGUGGGGUAGUGGCUUACCAAGGCUUUGACGGGUAGCCGGCCUGAGAGGGUGACCGGCCACAUUGGGACUGAGAUGCGGCCCAGGCUCCUACGGGAGGCAGCAGUGGGGAAUGUUGCACAAUGGGUGGAAGCCUGAUGCAGCAACGCCGUGUGCGGGAUGACGGCCUUCGGGUUGUAAACCGCUUUCGCUCAUGACGAAGCUUUGUGUGACGGUAGUGGGUAAAGAAGCACCGGCUAACUACGUG